UACGAAGGGGGCUAGCGUUGCUCGGAAUCACUGGGCGUAAAGCGCACGUAGGCGGCUUUUUUUAAGUCAGGGGGUGAAAUCCUGGAGCUCAACUCCAGAACUGCCUUUUGAUACUGAGAAGCUUUGAGUCCGGGAGAGGUGAGUGGAACUGCGAGUGUAGAGGUGAAAUGCGUAGAUAUCGGGAGGAAUACCAGUGGCGAAGGCGGCCUUCUGGACGGAUACUGACGCUGAGGCGCGAAAGCCAGGGGAGCAAACGGG
rnacentral:rRNA from 1 species